CCCCUUCGGAUCCCUCAGGUCUAAAUAUGGGUCUGAGUGGCGAGAAAAGAAGGAAAAGUAAACCUGAAGUGGGCUUGGAGUCUUUCAUAACUUACAAGUUCAUUUCAAACAUAG
rnacentral:snoRNA from 1 species